GGGCCUAUAGCUCAGUUGGUUAGAGCACACGCCUGAUAAGCGUGAGGUCGGUUCAAGUCCAUUUAGGCCCA
rnacentral:tRNA from 1 species